rnacentral:rRNA from 1 species
UACGGAGGGUGCGAGCGUUGUCCGGAAUCAUUGGGCGUAAAGGGCGCGUAGGUGGCGGGACAAGCGUGCGGUGAAAGCUCGGGGCUCAACCCCGAGUCGGCCGUGCGAACUGUUUUGCUUGAGCACUGUAGAGGCAGGCGGAAUUCCGGGUGUAGCGGUGGAAUGCGUAGAGAUCCGGAAGAACACCGGUGGCGAAGGCGGCCUGCUGGGCAGUAGCUGACACUGAGGCGCGACAGCGUGGGGAGCGAACAGG